AAAAUAACUGAAGUUGGAUUUGUAAAUAAUAAAACCAACUCAUUUCUAUAAGACAUAAAAAAGUUCAUUCUGUGAUCUACCUCUGUGCCGCCAUACCUCCAGCGUGCUAGUAAUGUUCAAUUCGUUCACAGUUGGAGAUUUUUUUUCAAAUUAGAAAAAAAUGAUCUGAACUUGUAUAUGAAUGAUUCUGAAACCUAAGUAUUUUCGUUCUUGACUAUUUGCCAAUGUCCACUAGUAUCCUUACGCACCCCUUUUUCUGUGUAGGUACUUGAUCGAGCAUAUGCUAUAUCUAAGACAUGGAAUGGUGCUAUGGUAAUACUCUCCGGGUAUUUCAACACUACACUUAAGCUAAUUAACUAGUGAACAAUUUAUACUUGCAUUCAGGAUUACAUUCGAGUCUUUUGUUGGUCUCAUCCUAGUACCAGGCUACCAGCCAUUAAGGAAGGCCUCGAAGAACCCUCGGCCACCAUCACAUACACCAGCAGCAAUGUCAUGUCGAUCCAACCAUUACGGCGCUAAAAUGGUAAUGGAACACUACUUGACUGAGCCUACUAUGCUAUAUCUAAGACGUGUC